UUCUCUUCCCUUCGAACCUUUUGGUUUUGCCUGUGGUUCCGUCAUUGUUCCGUGGUGGCAGUUGUUUCAGUCCUACCCCACGGAUUGUUCUUUAGCUCUCUCAUCUGUGUGCUUUAUGGUCUCUUUAGCCUUGUCUUCUUGUUUUUCACCUCCACAUUGUUUCGUUUCAUUGCUUUUCUCCGUGUCUCCCACUGCUUCAUUCCCUUUUUCACAUGUGGCUCUCCCCCUCAUCUGCUCAUUCAGUGAUGUUUCCUCUCACAUGUUUCUAGAUGAUGAUGCCCCUCUGUGCGAUGGUUGAUUCCCUCGCUGGCAGCCCCUCAGUCCUGCACUGAUCCGUACACUGCAGCUCUGAGGAAGAAUCAGAAAAGCACCAUACUGAGCAGCAUGGAGUUCCAGGGUCAGAGGUUGAAGUAAAAAUGAUGAGCACAGGGAAAGCUUUCACUACUUUCUAUCUUCGUGACACUGAAAGAGACAUAUUCUUUGCUUCCUGAAGGGAAGAAAGUGAUCUGCCACAGGAAAAUCAAGUUAGCAAGGUAUUCUACACAGAGCUGCUGUUUUCCACAUGAAACCUGGACAUGAUACUGUGUUCAAGAUCACACACUGCAAAUUUCCUACAAAGAAGCCUCAAUCUACAUGUCCAGCAAAGGCAUUCAAAAGCACAAGGACUCCAAAAGAGGGUUACAGCGGUCUUUGGUGGAUAUUCCUGGAAGGUCUUCAGUGUUUUGUCAGCUCAUUGGAGUUCAGGUUUUUCUCUUAGCAGUUAAAUGGUCCUCCUCACCGUCUUCAAGAUAAUUCUGUCAGCACAAGCUCCUCUGUUUGAACAAUUAUUCUGGAUCUAUUUCUUCCUUUUUUUUUUUUUUAGUUUAUAUAACCAUGCAAACUGCACAUAAGGAGCUGCCAUUUUUUCUUUCAUGCAUUUUGCAGAGACCAUAUGAAAUUCGAAGCUAGUUCCACUGGUUGUGUAAGAGUCAGCUAAGCUGGCUUCCGUGUAUUGGCCUAACAUACGUAAAGGGGAAGAGCCCUCACUCGGUGUCAGUGCAGCUAUACAAAAAACCUGGGCCAAACCUUGUGCUUGGACAUAGUGAGAAUGGGAAUAUGAGAAAAGCACUGGAGUUAUUUCUAACAUAAAAAAAAAAAGGCUUUUGGAA